rnacentral:rRNA from 1 species
GUCGAACGGAAGUUUAAGCAAUUAAACUUUAGUGGCGAACGGGUGAGUAACGCGUAAGCAAUCUGCCCCUAAGACGAGGAUAACAGUUGGAAACGACUGCUAAGACUGGAUAGGAGACAAGAGGGCAUCUUCUUGUUUUUAAAAGACCUAGCAAUAGGUAUGCUUAGGGAGGAGCUUGCGUCACAUUAGUUAGUUGGUGGGGUAAAGGCCUACCAAGACUAUGAUGUGUAGCCGGGCUGAGAGGUUGAACGGCCACAUUGGGACUGGGACACGGCCCAAACUCCUACGGGAGGCAGCAGUAGGGAAUUUUCGGUAAUGGAGGAAACUCUGACCGAGCAACGCCGCGUGAACGAUGAAGUAUUUCGGUACGUAAAGUUCUUUUAUUAGGGAAGAAUAAAUGAUGGAAAAAUCAUUCUGACGGUACCUAAUGAAUAAGCCCCGGCUAACUAUGUGCCAGCAGCCGCGGUAAUACAUAGGGGGCAAGCGUUAUCCGGAAUUAUUGGGCGUAAAGGGUGCGUAGGCGGUUAAAUAAGUUUAUGGUCUAAGAGCAAUGCUCAACAUUGUGAUGCUGUAAAAACUGUUUAGCUAGAGUAAGAUAGAGGCAAGUGGAAUUCCAUGUGUAGUGGUAAAAUGCGUAAAUAUAUGGAGGAACACCAGUAGCGGAGGCGGCUUGCCGGGUCUUUACUGACGCUGAGGCACGAAAGCGUGGGGAGCAAACAGGAUUAGAUACCCUGGUAGUCCACGCCGUAAACGAUGAGUACUAAAUGUUGGGUAAAACCAGUGUUGAAGUUAACACAUUAAGUACUCCGCCUGAGUAGUACGUACGCAAGUAUGAAACUUAAAGGAAUUGACGGGACUCCGCACAAGCGGUGGAUCAUGUUGUUUAAUUCGAAGGUACCCGAAAAACCUCACCAGGUCUUGACAUGCUUCUGCAAAGCUGUAGAAACACAGUGGAGGUCAUCAGUUGCACAGGUGGUGCAUGGUUGUCGUCAGCUCGUGUCAUGAGAUGUUGGGUUAAGUCCCGCAACGAGCGCAACCCUUAUUGUUAGUUACCAGCACGUAAUGGUGGGGACUUUAGCAAGACUGCCAGUGAUAAAUUGGAGGAAGGUGGGGACGACGUCAAAUCAUCAUGCCCCUUAUGAUCUGGGCUACAAACGUGAUACAAUGGCUGUUACAAAGGGUAGCUGAAGCGCAAGUUUUUGGCGAAUCUCAAAAAAACAGUCUCAGUUCGGAUUGAAGUCU